rnacentral:rRNA from 1 species
UACAGGCUUAACACAUGCAAGUCGAGGGGCAGCAUGGUCUUAGCUUGCUAAGGCCGAUGGCGACCGGCGCACGGGUGAGUAACGCGUAUCCAACCUGCCUUACACUCUUGGACAGCCUUCUGAAAGGGAGAUUAAUACAAGAUGUUAUCAUGAGUAAGCAUUUUCGCAUGAUUAAAGGUUUACCGGUGUAAGAUGGGGAUGCGUUCCAUUAGAUAGUAGGCGGGGUAACGGCCCACCUAGUCUUCGAUGGAUAGGGGUUCUGAGAGGAAGGUCCCCCACAUUGGAACUGAGACACGGUCCAAACUCCUACGGGAGGCAGCAGUGAGGAAUAUUGGUCAAUGGACGAGAGUCUGAACCAGCCAAGUAGCGUGAAGGAUGAAGGUUCUAUGGAUUGUAAACUUCUUUUAUACGGGAAUAAACGAAUCCACGUGUGGAUUUUUGCAUGUACCGUAUGAAUAAGGAUCGGCUAACUCCGUGCCAGCAGCCGCGGUAAUACGGAGGAUCCGAGCGUUAUCCGGAUUUAUCGGGUUUAAAGGGAGCGUAGAUGGGUUGUUAAGUCAGUUGUGAAAGUUUGCGGCUCAACCGUAAAAUUGCAAUUGAUACUGGCAGUCUUGAGUACAGUUGAGGUAGGCGGAAUUCGUGGUGUAGCGGUGAAAUGCUUAGAUAUCACGAAGAACUCCGAUUGCGAAGGCAGCUUACUAACCUGUAACUGACAUUGAUGCUCGAAAGUGUGGGUAUCAAACAGGAUUAGAUACCCUGGUAGUCCACACGGUAAACGAUGAAUACUCGCUGUAGGCGAUAUACAGUCUGCGGCCAAGCGAAAGCAUUAAGUAUUCCACCUGGGGAGUACGCCGGCAACGGUGAAACUCAAAGGAAUUGACGGGGGCCCGCACAAGCGGAGGAACAUGUGGUUUAACUCGAUGAUACGCGAGGAACCUUACCCGGGCUUAAAUUGCAACCGAAUAUGGCGGAAACGCUAUAGCUAGCAAUAGCGGUUGUGAAGGUGCUGCAUGGUUGUCGUCAGCUCGUGCCGUGAGGUGUCGGCUUAAGUGCCAUAACGAGCGCAACCCUUGCCGAUAGUUACUAACAGGUCAUGCUGAGGACUCUGUCGGGACUGCCAUCGUAAGAUGUGAGGAAGGUGGGGAUGACGUCAAAUCAGCACGGCCCUUACGUCCGGGGCUACACACGUGUUACAAUGGGGGGGUACAGAGGGCUGCUACCACGCAAGUGGAUGCCAAUCCCAAAAACCUCUCUCAGUUCGGAUUGAAGUCUGCAACCCGACUUCAUGAAGCUGGAUUCGCUAGUAAUCGCGCAUCAGCCACGGCGCGGUGAAUACGUUCCCGGGCCUUGUACACACCGCCCGUCAAGCCAUGGGAGCCGGGGGUACCUGAAGUGCGUAACCGCAAGGAGCGCCCUAGGGUAAAACUGGUGACUGG